rnacentral:rRNA from 1 species
AGAGUUUGAUCCUGGCUCAGGACGAACGCUGGCGGCGUGCCUAAUACAUGCAAGUCGAGCGAGCUUGCCUAGAUGAUUUUAGUGCUUGCACUAAAUGAAACUAGAUACAAGCGAGCGGCGGACGGGUGAGUAACACGUGGGUAACCUGCCCAAGAGACUGGGAUAACACCUGGAAACAGAUGCUAAUACCGGAUAACAACACUAGACGCAUGUCUAGAGUUUGAAAGAUGGUUCUGCUAUCACUCUUGGAUGGACCUGCGGUGCAUUAGCUAGUUGGUAAGGUAACGGCCUACCAAGGCAAUGAUGCAUAGCCGAGUUGAGAGACUGAUCGGCCACAUUGGGACUGAGACACGGCCCAAACUCCUACGGGAGGCAGCAGUAGGGAAUCUUCCACAAUGGACGAAAGUCUGAUGGAGCAACGCCGCGUGAGUGAAGAAGGGUUUCGGCUCGUAAAGCUCUGUUGGUAGUGAAGAAAGAUAGAGGUAGUAACUGGCCUUUAUUUGACGGUAAUUACUUAGAAAGUCACGGCUAACUACGUGCCAGCAGCCGCGGUAAUACGUAGGUGGCAAGCGUUGUCCGGAUUUAUUGGGCGUAAAGCGAGUGCAGGCGGUUCAAUAAGUCUGAUGUGAAAGCCUUCGGCUCAACCGGAGAAUUGCAUCAGAAACUGUUGAACUUGAGUGCAGAAGAGGAGAGUGGAACUCCAUGUGUAGCGGUGGAAUGCGUAGAUAUAUGGGAGAACACCAGUGGCGAAGGCGGCUCUCUGGUCUGCAACUGACGCUGAGGCUCGAAAGCAUGGGUAGCGAACAGGAUUAGAUACCCUGGUAGUCCAUGCCGUAAACGAUGAGUGCUAAGUGUUGGGAGGUUUCCGCCUCUCAGUGCUGCAGCUAACGCAUUAAGCACUCCGCCUGGGGAGUACGACCGCAAGGUUGAAGCUCAAAGGAAUUGACGGGGGCCCGCACAAGCGGUGGAGCAUGUGGUUUAAUUCGAAGCAACGCGAAGAACCUUACCAGGUCUUAACAUCCAGUGCAAACCUAAGAGAUUAGGUGUUCCCUUCGGGGACGCUGAGACAGGUGGUGCAUGGCUGUCGUCAGCUCGUGUCGUGAGAUGUCGGGUUAAGUCCCGCAACGAGCGCAACCCUUGUCAUUAGUUGCCAUCAUUAAGUUGGGCACUCUAAUGAGACUGCCGGUGACAAACCGGAGGAAGGUGGGGAUGACGUCAAGUCAUCAUCCCCCUUA